rnacentral:sRNA from 1 species
CACAGGCGAGGAUGCCGGAAGGAACACCGACUCAGGAUGAGGGUCAGGAACGCCAGGAGGCGAAGACACAGGAGUUGCCAGGGAGGCAGGCGUCCGGAGACGUUUUUUUAGGGAAAUGGAGUACGACACGGAGCGUUCAGCGCCAAGGGAUAACAGGGUGUGUUGUAGGGCUACAGGGAUUGUCAGACCCGUAAUGGGUUGUGAGUCAGGAAAAAAGGCGACAGAUUGCUCUGUCGCCUUUUUUCUUUGCCUGCUU